AGUGAACGCUGGCGGUAGGCCUAACACAUGCAAGUCGAACGGCAGCACAGUAAGAGCUUGCUCUUACGGGUGGCGAGUGGCGGACGGGUGAUGAAUACAUCGGAAUCUACUUUUUCGUGGGGGAUAAUGUAGGGAAACUUACGCUAAUACCGCAUACGACCUACGGGUGAAAGCAGGGGAUCUUCGGACCUUGCGCGAUUGAAUGAGCCGAUGUCGGAUUAGCUAGUUGGCGGGGUAAAGGCCCACCAAGGCGACGAUCCGUAGCUGGUCUGAGAGGAUGAUCAGCCACACUGGAACUGAGACACGGUCCAGACUCCUACGGGAGGCGGCAGUGGGGAAUAUUGGACAAUGGGCGCAAGCCUGAUCCAGCCAUACCGCGUGGGUGAAGAAGGCCUUCGGGUUGUAAAGCCCUUUUGUUGGGAAAGAAAAGCAGCAGGUUAAUACCCCGCUGUUCUGACGGUACCCAAAGAAUAAGCACCGGCUAACUUCGUG
rnacentral:rRNA from 1 species